GUCCACUAGGGCUGGGUGUGUAGUGGGGGGCUGAUGGCCUCAAGGCCCUCAAUCAGAGAGUGAAACUUCAUUUCACAUGAAAAGAAAAAAGAAAUCUAUCUGACUCCUCUAGGGACAGAGCCAAUCUUCCUGAGAAAGCAUCCUGCAUCUGCAGACAGGCUCUGGAGACAUCCAGACUCCAGUUUAUGAGAGACCUCUGCAGGAAGGGCCCAGGUUCUCUGCUCCAUCUGUAGGCCUUCAGCUCUGGGACUCCUGCUGACUGUCUCCCCUCAAGGCUGCUCUUCAUUGUACAAAAUCCAGUUUCCAGGCAGCAUGAACUGUGUCCAGAGACAGCAAAUGGUGGUUGGUCUCCUAUGAUGAGGAUGGAAGAAGAGCAGCAGCCUGAGAGUUCAAGACCACCCCAAAAGAAAGCAAAGAUAGCUGAAAUCAAGAGAAAGAAACAUGUCAGGUUUCUCUUGCCUCACCAAAGUUACAGGAAAAGGAACCCCUCUUCCUCUCAAAACGCAGAUCAGAAGAUGUUCAAAUGUGAAUGCCACUACUGCCAGAAAUAUGUGGGAAACACAUCUGGGAUGUCUGCAGGGACAAGGACAGAAGCAACCUCUCAUACACUCUCCUUAGAAAAGCUGACACUAGACCUCGGUAACUUGACACUCAACCCAUGUACCACACAGCCCCCUCUUAUGCAAGAAAGAACACAAAAAAUAGAAAAUGACACCAUGAGUUGCAAACCGAACGGCAAAAGAAUAUUUAAGAGACUUUUCCACGAAUGAACAGAAUAACUCUGUCCUUAAUACCCUCCUUUGAAGACAAUCACAGCCUACAGGAUCGUGAAUGUCAACAUCACCAACUGAUGCCCGGGGUGAAAUCUUUUUGGCAGAUUGGUCAGGAGGAGUAACAACGUCCAGCCUGGUGACAAUAACACCAUCACAUGUUGAGACUUAAACCUA